rnacentral:rRNA from 1 species
GACGAACGCUGGCGGCGUGCCUAAUACAUGCAAGUUGAGCGAUGAAGAUUGGUGCUUGCACCAAUUUGAAGAGCAGCGAACGGGGGAGUAACGCGUGGGGAAUCUGCCUUUGAGCGGGGGACAACAUUUGGAAACGAAUGCUAAUACCGCAUAAUAACUUUAAACAUAAGUUUUAAGUUUGAAAGAUGCAAUUGCAUCACUCAAAGAUGAUCCCGCGUUGUAUUAGCUAGUUGGUGAGGUAAAGGCUCACCAAGGCGAUGAUACAUAGCCGACCUGAGAGGGUGAUCGGCCACAUUGGGACUGAGACACGGCCCAAACUCCUACGGGAGGCAGCAGUAGGGAAUCUUCGGCAAUGGACGAAAGUCUGACCGAGCAACGCCGCGUGAGUGAAGAAGGUUUUCGGAUCGUAAAACUCUGUUGGUAGAGAAGAACGUUGGUGAGAGUGGAAAGCUCAUCAAGUGACGGUAACUACCCAGAAAGGGACGGCUAACUACGUG